rnacentral:rRNA from 1 species
ACGCCGCGUGAGUGAUGAAGGUUUUCGGAUCGUAAAGCUCUGUUGUUAGGGAAGAACAAGUGCAAGAGUAACUGCUUGCACCUUGACGGUACCUAACCAGAAAGCCACGGCUAACUACGUGCCAGCAGCCGCGGUAAUACGUAGGUGGCAAGCGUUGUCCGGAAUUAUUGGGCGUAAAGGGCUCGCAGGCGGUUUCUUAAGUCUGAUGUGAAAGCCCCCGGCUCAACCGGGGAGGGUCAUUGGAAACUGGGAAACUUGAGUGCAGAAGAGGAGAGUGGAAUUCCACGUGUAGCGGUGAAAUGCGUAGAGAUGUGGAGGAACACCAGUGGCGAAGGCGACUCUCUGGUCUGUAACUGACGCUGAGGAGCGAAAGCGUGGGGAGCGAACAGGAUUAGAUACCCUGGUAGUCCACGCCGUAAACGAUGAGUGCUAAGUGUUAGGGGGUUUCCGCCCCUUAGUGCUGCAGCUAACGCAUUAAGCAC